AUGCAAUGUCUCUAAUAAAAACACAAAAACAGAAAAUUCUAAAGUUUGGCUUUCAGUGCAAAAUUCGAUUAGAUCUGCAGUGUAUGUAAAUAUGUUGCAAGGGCGGGUAGGAAGGGCACGAGGUGAGCAAGGAUACAGUCAAAGCUUUUACGGCAUUUUAAAGUAAAAUCAAACAACUUCUUCUUAAGUACAAAUCUUGAUAAUAUUAAUACGCUUUAUUUGUACACACAACAUUUAAAAAACAGACUUAAAGUACAAAAAGCAGACUUUUCAGAAAGUAAAUUCAAACAUCAGCCCAAAGAAAACAGAUACAGUUAAUGUGAUGAAACAGAAAUAAAGAUUCAAGGUUAUGACAAAUAAACAACACUAAUAAAAUCACAAAAGCAAGAGAGCUGAAACAAUAAACAGAACCAAAAGAGACAAAAAAAAAAAAGAGAUGACAUCACAUACGACACCAAUAAAAUCUCCUCAGGUAGAUCAUUCUAGAGUCGAGGGGCUCUAAUGGCACAGUGAUCACCUUUAGAGUGUGACUGUGAAACAGCUGGAAGGCCCCAGCUGAGUAUCUAAAUUUGCAAAAUGGCCCAUGAGGAGUCAACAUGCUCUGACAUGCAGCCAGACCCUGACGCACUCAGGAAGCAUACAGGGAACCAAUAGCAAGAGCUGGAUUCAUGUCAGGCUAUCUGCUAAAACUACUAAGAAGCAAGUGCUUAACCAAAACAUGUCUUAUUUCACACCACAUUACAGCCUGCUGGAUGUUUUAAACUCAUCUUUUUGCAGUAACACCAUAACACACGUGAAUAAUGAGAUCACAGAGGAGAUAAUAUCUUAUAAAAAAACCAACAGAUUGUUAUCAGGUUUUAGCUGUGUGGAAAUUUUGCGCUGUUUGUUGUAGUUUUUCAGGGUUUUAUCAAAGAUAAUUGGUUACUCUGGUGUGUUGGGUGUUGCACACAUAAAAUAAAAUCUACAGUAAACUGCACACUCCUACUGUAAAGCUUUACUUUACUUCUCUGUAGUAUCAUAGUUUCAAAGCGCCGUAGCCCAAAGAACUUACCCAUGUCACAGAUGGUGAUGUGAAGAGUCUGCUCUCUUGGAUCUUCAGCAGCAUGUCCCAGAUGAUGCAUCAGAACCAAACAGGCACAUCAGAAAACUUGUGACUGAAGGCGAGGACUUUGUCAUGAAGAAGAACUAGAGGACUGGUGGAAAGAAACUUGGGGUGAAGCUAGACAAGAACAAAGAAAUGAAAAAGGAGGACGAGAAGACAAAACUGAAGGGUGAGAAGAAAUUGGAAAAGUUACUGGGGAUUAAAGAAAUGCAGGAGAUGAAGUAAGAAAUUUAACAAAAACUUGAUGAAAGGAUGAGAAAAGGUUGGAUGAUAAGAAGAAUUAGCAGUAUAAAAGUAAAAUUAAAAGAAAAAGGAAUGACUUGUGUUUUUUCAAGCACAGCAGGCAGAGCUGCAGAACAAAGAAAACAAAGUGCAAAGAAAGGGGGAAAAGGAAAGUCAAAGGGAGGGAACAGGCUGAGCAGACAGGAAAAAAGUAAGAGAGUAAAAAAACAAAAAAGAAAGAGUUAGAAUAAGAAAAGGUGACAAAAGAGAAAAUAAGGACCAACACGAACAGAGAGAAAAGGAGGAGAAAAGAGUUCAGAAGCCAGAGAAGAGGAGAAGGAGCUCGGCUUCAGGAACUGGAUCUGAAGCGUGACUGUGCCAAGUGAUGGGGAAGGUAAAGACUUGCCUUUCUGCCUCCCCCCUCUAUAGGGGUGUUUGCAGGAUUUAAAUGGGGGAACAGAGGAGAGCCAAUAACAAGGCUGAAGGGAUCAUGGGAAAUCAGAAUAUUUCAUGAGAAAUUAAAAAACAGAAUUUAGAAAAAACUGGUGCAGAAAACUUAGGACAUGUUUUAAAAGACACUGUAAAACCAGGCAUUGCCUUAGUUCAUGUUGACCAACUGAUUUGCGAAAAAAAAAUUAGAGCCAGGGCCCCCUCCCCUCCCCGCCUCACUCAUCAUCGUCUCCAUUGUUCCCUUUCUCUGCCCACCUCCUCCUUUAUCUCAGCCCUCUGUUGACCAUCCAUCACCAAUCAUUAAAAACUAAACAUCAUCAGGUUUGUUUCUGCAUGAUGUCGUUACUCUGAAUAAACACAACAGGUUAAACCCCA
ensembl:lncRNA